ACCUCCCACAGUGUUCCUCCCACCACACGUGGGGAUUAUGGAAACUACAAUUCAAGAUGAGAUUUGGAUGGGGAUAAAGCCAAGCCAUAUCAGUGGGGUACUUUGACUUUGAUUCUGGGUGUGUGCAGUAAUGUAGUCUUCGUAUGAUUUCUUUGGCUGUAUGUCAGUGGUAUCUGUGGUUUUUUGUUUGCUUGUUUGUUUUGUUUUGUUUUUUUCAGUGGCUUGGAGUGUGUUUGUUAAUGGAGGCAGUGGUGAAGUUUUGCUGGAGACAGGGAUGCCAGAGUCAGCUCCCUGGAGGAACGAACCUGGGACAGUGAGACUUGUCUUCAGUUUCAGCCUGAGAUUCUUCUUCCAAUUCAAAGGGCUAUUGUAAGGAUCAAAUGAAAUAGUUCAAUAAAAUCUUUUUUGAAAACCACAA